rnacentral:rRNA from 1 species
CAGGCUUAACACAUGCAAGUCGAGGGGCAGCAUUUCAGUUUGCUUGCAAACUGGAGAUGGCGACCGGCGCACGGGUGAGUAACACGUAUCCAACCUGCCGAUAACUCGGGGAUAGCCUUUCGAAAGAAAGAUUAAUACCCGAUGGUAUAAUCAGACCGCAUGGUCUUGUUAUUAAAGAAUUUCGGUUAUCGAUGGGGAUGCGUUCCAUUAGGCAGUUGGUGAGGUAACGGCUCACCAAACCUUCGAUGGAUAGGGGUUCUGAGAGGAAGGUCCCCCACAUUGGAACUGAGACACGGUCCAAACUCCUACGGGAGGCAGCAGUGAGGAAUAUUGGUCAAUGGGCGCAGGCCUGAACCAGCCAAGUAGCGUGAAGGAUGACUGCCCUAUGGGUUGUAAACUUCUUUUAUAUGGGAAUAAAGUUUUCCACGUGUGGAAUUUUGUAUGUACCAUAUGAAUAAGGAUCGGCUAACUCCGUGCCAGCAGCCGCGGUAAUACGGAGGAUCCGAGCGUUAUCCGGAUUUAUUGGGUUUAAAGGGAGCGUGGGUGGACAGUUAAGUCAGUUGUGAAAGUUUGCGGCUCAACCGUAAAAUUGCAGUUGAUACUGGCUGUCUUGAGUACAGUAGAGGUGGGCGGAAUUCGUGGUGUAGCGGUGAAAUGCCUAGAUAUCACGAAGAACUCCGAUUGCGAAGGCAGCUCACUGGACUGCAACUGACACUGAUGCUCGAAAGUGUGGGUAUCAAACAGGAUUAGAUACCCUGGUAGUCCACACAGUAAACGAUGAAUACUCGCUGUUUGCGAUAUACAGUAAGCGGCCAAGCGAAAGCAUUAAGUAUUCCAUCUGGGGAGUACGCCGGCAACGGUGAAACUCAAAGGAAUUGACGGGGGCCCGCACAAGCGGAGGAACAUGUGGUUUAACUCGAUGAUACGCGAGGAACCUUACCCGGGCUUAAAUUGCAUUUGAAUAUAUUGGAAACAGUAUAGCCGUAAGGCAAAUGUGAAGGUGCUGCAUGGUUGUCGUCAGCUCGUGCCGUGAGGUGUCGGCUUAAGUGCCAUAACGAGCGCAACCCUUAUCUUUAGUUACUAACAGGUCAUGCUGAGGACUCUAGAGAGACUGCCGUCGUAAGAUGUGAGGAAGGUGGGGAUGACGUCAAAUCAGCACGGCCCUUACGUCCGGGGCUACACACGUGUUACAAUGGGGGGUACAGAAGGCAGCUACCUGGUGACAGGAUGCUAAUCCCAAAAGCCUCUCUCAGUUCGGAUCGAAGUCUGCAACCCGACUUCGUGAAGCUGGAUUCGCUAGUAAUCGCGCAUCAGCCAUGGCGCGGUGAAUACGUUCCCGGGCCUUGUACACACCGCCCGUCAAGCCCUGAAAGCCGGGGGUACCUGAAGUACGUAACCGCAAGGAGCGUCCUAGGGUAAAACUGGUAAUUGGGGC